GAAAUGCGAUAAGUAAUGUGAAUUGCAGAAUUCAGUGAAUCAUCGAAUCUUUGAACGCACAUUGCGCCCGCCAGUAUUCUGGCGGGCAUGCCUGUUCGAGCGUCAUUUCAACCAUCAAGCCCCCGGGCUUGUGUUGGGGACCUGCGGCUGCCGCAGGCCCCGAAAACCAGUGGCGGGCUCGCUGUCACACCGGGCGUAGUAGAUUUUUCGUCUCGCCCAGGGCGUGCUGCGGGUUCCGGCCGUUAAAAAGCCUCUCCUUUUAACCCAAGGUUGACCUCGGAUCAGGUAGGAAGACCCGCUGAACUUAAGC
rnacentral:misc_RNA from 1 species